UGAACCAUUGGGCCAAAGAAGUUCACAUUUACAAGAAAAUUUUCUGACAUAGUGUAGAUUCAAGUUUGCGAAAACUAUGGCCUCCAGGGGUAGAUUGGGGCCAUGAUAAGGACUACGGUUUUACAUGCAAAUAUAUAUAGAAAGUCUUCUGAUAUGGACCAAGGUGACUCAGGUGAGCGAUGUGGCCCAUGGGCCUCUUGUUUUUGUUUGUUUUUUGUUUUGGUAAGUAUAUGUAAUUCACUCUUGUCAUUAUAUGCUAUGUAUAUUGUGUGGGCUAAAUAGUGUGCCUUGGAUUUUAUAUAUAUGCUAUGUAACUAAUGGGCAUAUUACUCAUAGUAAUAAAGUACCGUAAAACAAAACCUAAACAUAAAGACUAUACUACAUAGUUAUACAUGUAUUUUCACAGCACGAGUGCUUUUUAUAAUCAAGGUAUUUUGAUAAAUAAUUAUACGAGCCCCGAUAUCUAUAAUAAUUUUUUUUUUCUUCAAGGCAAAUUCGAUCUAGGGCCUGAGAAACGGAGAAGGGGUGUCUUUAUUUAUUUAUUCUUUUUUGGUGAGAACUUGUGACAUAUGUUUUAGUACAUCACAAUAUAAUAUAGGGUUUGAACGAAACGUAUGUUGACGGUUAACAGUUUUACUUAUAAUUUUCCGUAUUUAGUCCAAAAUAACUAUUUGAUCUAUAAGAAUUAUACUGAAUUUCUUUUUCAGCGGCGGUAUCUAUGACCGGAUGUGCUUUUGAUCACGUGUUUAGGUACAUGUAUUAGCAAUAUCAUCACUUUUCAUCACAACGAAUAAAUAAUAUGCAUCAAAAUAUGUUGAUCACAUAUGCAGCAUGUAUGUAUUCAGUGAAAAUCAUGAAUAGCUUCCAUUUACAUAAAAAUAUAACACAAUUAAAUGAUGUCACGUGCUUUGUAAACGGGGAAAGAACGAGAUCUAUUCAUAUUCCUAAAGUGAACGUUAUCCUGUGUGUUUAGACCUGUCCACUUUGUUUAACUUUCUUCAUGAAGUACCAUGACGAAAACUGCUUAUAUGGGAUUUAAAAUUCAAUUGAUAUUUCGACAUUCCUCAUGACAAAAAAAAAACAACAAAAAACAAAAAAAAACAAAGGGAACAACUAAAACUAGGAACCAUUGUCUGUGGCGUCUAUGUAUAAAAUUUUAACUUUUGUACAGUAGAAUUACUUUUAUUGACCAUGGAAAGGGGGCCGUCUCUAAUAGUUGUUUCACCUCAUCCUUCAAUGUUACUUAAGAAACUAGCUGAACAAGGUCAACAUGCGUUCUUUGGCUUGAACUUUACUAUCCUGAAGUUUGAGUUCAAUGCAGAAACCCGAUGUCAAUUCAUUUGAUACGUGGGAAAUGUUAUUCCUUGUGGAAGUGAAAUUUGGGGUUUUCAUAAAUCACCUGAAAUUGAGUGUUUGCCUUUAUCAAGCUGUAGAUUGGUUGUAUUGUGGUUAAUGUCCCGCUCAAGAAUCUCUCACUCAUAUGGAUGCGUCACUAUUGCCGGUGAAGGGCAGCAAAAUUUAGGCCUAUGAUCGGCGCUUACGGCCUUUGAGC